GGGAGCUUGCUCCCGCUGACGAGUGGCGAACGGGUGAGUAAUGCAUCGGAACGUGCCGAAUAGUGGGGGAUAACGCACCGAAAGGUGUGCUAAUACCGCAUACGCCCUGAGGGGGAAAGUGGGGGACCGCAAGGCCUCACGCUAAUCGAGCGGCCGAUGUCGGAUUAGCUAGUUGGUGGGGUAAAGGCUCACCAAGGCGACGAUCCGUAGCGGGUCUGAGAGGAUGAUCCGCCACACUGGGACUGAGACACGGCCCAGACUCCUACGGGAGGCAGCAGUGGGGAAUUUUGGACAAUGGGGGAAACCCUGAUCCAGCCAUGCCGCGUGUCUGAAGAAGGCCUUCGGGUUGUAAAGGACUUUUGUCCGGGAGGAAACCCUGAUCGUUAAUAGCGGUCGGGACUGACAGUACCGGAAGAAUAAGCACCGGCUAACUACGUGCCAGCAGCCGCGGUAAUACGUAGGGUGCAAGCGUUAAUCGGAAUUACUGGGCGUAAAGCGUGCGCAGGCGGUGAGAUAAGUCAGCUGUGAAAGCCCCGGGCUCAACCUGGGAACUGCGGCCGAAACUGUCUCGCUAGAGUACGUCAGA
rnacentral:rRNA from 1 species